GUAUUUUUUCUUGGCACGUGGGGUUGAUGUAGCUUGGCGGACCUCGUGCGAGGAAUUUACUAUGAAUUGUACUUGUGUUGUAAAUUUUUGUCGUUUUAUUCCGUCUUAAACUUCUACGAGGUGUUCUUCGUCCAUUUGUUUGCUUUAUUUUAUCAACCGACGUUUUUAAGUGUCGUUUUAUCCUCGCCCACUGUGUAUUCUGUAGAUAUUUUAUCGUGUGGCCGCGUGAACUCAUUUCAUCUGCUUGGAAUUUAUUACAUUCCACCAGUUUGCUAUUGGAAAUAAAUCAUGGGAGAUCUAAACGGUAUGCUUUUCAUCGUUAUGUAUUGUAGAAUGCUAUUGAAAAAUUACGGUUUUGAUUCGAUCGAUUUUGACGACAGCGCUCGCGUCAGCCCGAGCAGACCUUGCAAACGAACUUGGUUUAUAAUUUUUGAACAAACGUUGGCUUUGUUUAGCCACAAUAUAUAUGCAACUUUGAUUGCCUUGUUCGAGAUCUAGUAUAAAGUAGUCUUCAAGACGUGAUUGUGGGCUAUGUAUAGCUGUGCGAGUGUGUUUGUCUGGGCCGUUUCUUAGCCAAGACAAAGGUACGAUGCAUGUGAAAUUUGGACAGGUCGUCUUUCGAUCUGCUGUAGCUUCGUUUGUACAUGCUCUGCGGUUCGUAAUUUUCAAGGAUAAUCAAUACUUCUAGCAAUCGAUCUAAAAUUGAGAUUGUAUGGAAGCACUAUUAGUUGAACAAGUGCAGUUAAUUUAGGCUGUCGUUACUUUUUCUAUUGAAUACCAAGCGGUGUUUACUGCAAAUUUACGUCCGUGUUGCUUCCCUCUGUAGGUCAGGAGUUCAUGGGCUCAUCCGGCCAGAAAACUACGGUCAGAAG